CAGGGUCUCCGGUGAAGGUUUUUUGGGGUGGGGUCUCCCCAGGGUCUCCGGCGCUCCAGAGCCCCCCCAGUUCUGGCCGUGAUGGAGCGGGGGGCGAGCGGAGGGGGCGGCGCCCCCCGGCUGGAGCAGGCCCAGCACCGCCGGGACCUGGAGGAGGAGCUGCGGGACCUCAGCAACCAGGUGGCGGCGCUGGGGCGGAGCCUGGCGGCAGAGCGUGGGCGGAGCCUGAUGGAGGGCGGGGCGCUGCGGGCGCUGGAGAUCGCGGUGG